GAUGAACGCUAGCGGCAGGCUUAAUACAUGCAAGUCGAGGGGCAGCGCAGUGUAGCAAUACACUGGCGGCGACCGGCAAACGGGUGCGGAACACGUACGCAACCUACCCAUAACUGAUGAAUAGCCCUCCGAAAGGAGGAUUAAUACAUCGUAACUUCAUGAUGCGGCAUCGCUUUAUUAAUAUAGCUCCGGCGGUUUUGGGUGGGCGUGCGGCUGAUGAGGUAGUUGGUGUGGUAACGGCCCACCAAGCCUGCGAUCAGUAACUGGUGUGGGGGCACGAGCAGGAAAGCGUGCACGGAGACACGGGGCCGAAGACUACGGGAGGCAGCAGUAGGGAAGAUUGGUCAAGGGACGCAAGUCUGAACCAGGCAUGCCGCGUGAAGGAUGAAGGUCCUCUGGAUUGUAACCUUCGUUUGAAUGGGACGAAACCUAGUUAUCUUGAGAGACUGACGGUACCAUUAGAAGAAGCACCGGCUAACUCCGUG
rnacentral:rRNA from 1 species